ensembl:lncRNA
CAUUUGUCAGGAAGAAAAUUAACAUUAUCGCUGCUCUCUCGGUACGGUAGGAAUGUUCAUGGGAACAAGUGCCAAGUGACUCAUGGUAGUAGUAGUAGUGUCGUAGUAGUUGUGUAGUAGUGGUGGUGAUGGUGGUGGUGGUGGUGGUGGUGGUGAUGGUGGUGGGUGGUGGUGGUAGUAGUGGUGGUAGCAGUAGUAGUAGUAGUAGUUAUAGUGGUGGUAGUAGUGGUGGUUGUAGAAGUAAUAGUAGUAGUUAUAGUGGUGGUUUUGGGAUAGUAGUAGUAGUAGUAGUUAUAGUGGUGGUAGUAGUGGUGGUGGUAGUAGUAGUAGUAGUAGUAGUAGUGGUGGUAUAGUGGUGGUAGUAGUGGUGGUGGUAGUAGUAGUAGUAGUUAUAGUGGUGGUAGUAGUGGUGGUGGUGGUAUAGUAGUAGUAGUAGUUAUAGUGGUGGUAGUAAUGGUGGUGGUUUCGGGAUAGUAGUAGCAGUAGGCUAGCAGUAGUACCUCCUCUGUCAAGCCUCAGGAUAGUCUGACUCAUGCUACAGAUACGACGUCAAUGCAUUCAUUUGAAACAUUUACAAAACAAAAAGCUCUCAGCAGCAUAACAAAUAUUUUGCUGGAUUUUCUAUCCUGCGGCAACCAGUUAAAAAAAAAGACCUUACUGUUGGAAAAACAAAAAGUAAUUAUCCUGACCUUUGUCACAACAAUUCAACCGACUCACUUGCACCUCCCCAUUAAAAAGGGAACGAUAUGGCUUGGAGGUACAGAAAGGGCACAGGAGGAAUAGGAAGGAGUGGGCAGGAGCUCAGGGGGUUAACCAGGUAAUGAGACUGACAUGAUAUUUGCAGAUCAUCUGAUCACCAGACACUCAGAAUUCACACAGUGCUUUACGCAUCCUAGCGGUCUGAACUAAAGCGAGACAGAACUCGCAUCAAAUGUCCCUGUGCUACAAAAGCAACCAUUGAGUGUCAUACAUUGCACACACACACACACACACACACACA